UACGUAGGGUGCAAGCGUUGUCCGGAAUUAUUGGGCGUAAAGAGCUCGUAGGCGGUUUGUUGCGUCGGCUGUGAAAUCCCGAGGCUCAACCUCGGGUCUGCAGUCGAUACGAGCAAACUAGAGUGUUGCAGGGGAGACUGGAAUUCCUGGUGUAGCGGUGAAAUGCGCAGAUAUCAGGAGGAACACCGGUGGCGAAGGCGGAUCUCUGGGCCUGUCCUGACGCUGAGGCGCGAAAGCUAGGGGAGCGAACAGG
rnacentral:rRNA from 1 species